rnacentral:tRNA from 1 species
UGUCCAGGGAUGGAAUCGAACCCACAAUGUUCCGCUUACCGGGCAGAUGCCAUGUCCACUAGGCUACCCUGGAC